AGCUGUUGCAGCACACUGAAUUGACAUUUUCUGCACACCCUUCUUAGGCACUUUUUGAGCUGUCUAACCUAGGACCAAGACGUCCCAUCUGCAGAUAGGCGGAGGACAGGAACAGGACAGGACACGCACACCCUCGACACCACACCGCAGACAUGUCAGACUCCGAGACCGCCGCCGCCCCCGCCGAGGCCCCCGUCCCCGCUGCUUGUGCCGCCAUCAAGGCUGACCUGGACAAAUGUGUGGCCGAGAAGGGAGCCGAGGGCUGCAAAGAUUUGAUCGAGGCCUUUGCUGCUUGUGUGAAGAGUGCAGCUGAGGGGACGUCAUGAGGAGUCGCCCUCCCACCCUGCGAAUGUCCACUGCACUGAGUCCUCCAAAUUCCCAGCAUUCCCUUCUGCACAACAGCACUGGACUGAAUGAUGAGGAUGAUGACGAUGAUCAUGGUGUGACAAACUUUGUGUUGAUUCUUGCUGUAUUUGGGAUAUGGUGGCAGUAACUACAGUCUCUCC